UACUGGAUUGUGUAACGGUUAGCACAUCAGCCUUUGACACUGAUAGUUCUGGUUCGAAUCCAGAUCCGGUAA
rnacentral:tRNA from 1 species